rnacentral:rRNA from 1 species
GACAAUGGGCGCAAGCCUGAUCCAGCCAUGCCGCGUGUGUGAAGAAGGGCUUUCGGGUUGUAAAGCACUUUCAGCGAGGAAGAAAGCGUGCCGGCCAAUACCCGGUACGGACGACAUCACUCGCAGAAGAAAGCACCGGCCUAACUCCGUGCCAGCAGCCGCGGUAAUACGGAGGGUGCAAGCGUUAAUCGGAAUUACUGGCCGUAAAGCGCGCGUAGGCCGCGUGUCACGCCGGGUGUGAAAGCCCCGGGCUCAACCUGGGAACGGCAUCCGGAACGGGCAGGCUAGAGUGCAGGAGAGGAAGGUAGAAUUCCCGGUGUAGCGGUGAAAUGCGUAGAGAUCGGGAGGAAUACCAGUGGCGAAGGCGGCCUUCUGGCCUGACACUGACGCUGAGGUGCGAAAGCGUGGGUAGCAAACAGGAUUAGAUACCCUGGUAGUCCACGCCGUAAACGAUGUCGACUAGCCGUUGGGUCCCUUGAGGACUUAGUGGCGCAGUUAACGCGAUAAGUCGACCGCCUGGGGAGUACGGCCGCAAGGUUAAAACUCAAAUGAAUUGACGGGGGCCCGCACAAGCGGUGGAGCAUGUGGUUUAAUUCGAUGCAACGCGAAGAACCUUACCUACCCUUGACAUCCUGCGAACCCGGAAGAGAUUCCGGGGUGCCUUCGGGAGCGCAGAGACAGGUGCUGCA